AGUAAAGCUAAUGUGAUUACGUUUUCUCCUCAAGCUACUUUGAAAAACAUUAUUCUUUCAUGAAUCAUUACUAAUUAAACAGUAUCUGCUACACAGAUGUGUGAAUCAAGGUGGUUUAAAUUACAGAAUUGUGGCUAGUUAAGCAACCCACUUCACUAACUUAUGACUGUCAAUAUAAUAUAAAAAGUUAAAUUUCAUUGUUAUUUUUACUAGUUAUUCGUCGUCGUCGACUAGUCGUCCUUUAACACAACAAGCGCUACUCUACACUGCUUAAAACUCAAUAUAAAAAAUGUACUUACAGGCUGAGUCAGAAGCGCCAGACUGUCCUUGCAAAUUUGGAACUGCCCCACUUUAUAGAAACAGCCUUUGAGCACAGACCCAUUGUAGGCAGGAACAGCGAGAAUAAAGUUAUGCCUUCUUUCUUUGCGUGAACAUUUGGGAGGCAUAGAGAUGUGGGGUGUGUAAGAACGGGCCGUUUUAGGAGGGCAUGGACAAGUCUUAACUUUUAUAAAGAAUAUCACUUUGGAUUUGAGACUUUAGUCUUUGCAACUUUACAGAUCUUAUUUAUGCACCAAGAGCUUGUAACACUCCAAAGAGAAAAGAAAAACUGAAAUCGCAUCAUAUGACCCCUUUAAGGAAUGCAGCAGUAGGUUGACCUGCUCUAUAUGUCUAUAUAACUCUUGGAUCUUCUUUCUUUUUCACAAAUGACACUGAAGAAAAGCAAUAUAAUCUAGCGUCAGAAGCACAGAAAAAUGUCUACGAGAAUGGUAUUUCAGAUGCGACACAAAGUCAAAAUCGGUGAUGAAAAUAACAGCUCUGCUUCUCUGAAAAUGUCAGCAGAGUUUGGAGGAGAAACGAUAACAAAGCAGCAGAAUGAGGAUUUUUCUUCUUAUUGGCUUACAAAAUUUCUUUAA
rnacentral:lncRNA from 1 species